UCGGCUUGUAAAAGCUUACCAGUCAUAAUUGUAUCAUCAGUACAAUCCAAAGCAGCAACCACUACCAAAUGGCCGUAAGAAUCCUUUGCAGUUUCAAUCAAAUAAGGUCGAAGACUCUUUAGCAUAACCUUACGAUCCUUCGCAUUAGCUAGAGCAAACAAUUUCAUCGCAACCUGAGAACCAUCUCUUGUAUGAACAAAUUCGUAAAUCAACUCCUUGGUUAAAUUCAAUAAUUCUUUCGCCUCGUUGGAAUCAGCAUGGUUUAUAAACUCCAACAUGGCACGAUGAACCAUUGUAAAACCAAUGGAACCUUUAGCAAUAGAACCCUCAAUAGUCUUCCAUAAGUUUUGCA